GUUCAUUGCUUCGCUUCCGGCUACCUUCUCGGGAUCAAUAAAUUCUUACACCAUUUUCUCGCCUUCGUUACUGCUUCUUUCACUUUGAGAAUUUUUCACUCUGAAACUGGACUCGACGGUGUAAGUUAAAUUCUACAGAGAAGCUCGCAAAUCGAUUAACAGGUGACGGUAAAUAUUGCAGUGAUACGAUGAUCUUUUGCUAAUGGCCUCACGAAAGACUUGGUCAAUGGCGAUAAGCCGUCCUUCCUCUACCUAGCCCGAGCUAAGAUGAUGGAUUUUCUUUAACAUGAUUUUGUGUUCCGGGCUUUACUUUGGAUUUUUUUUAUGCGCUUUAAUAAUGCUAAUGCAUUCGGUCCCAAGCUUUGGACUGCAGUGUUACAAUUGCACAACGACAUGGGAAUACGGUGCAUGCGUAUUAGAACCAAACACAACGAGGGUAGUCUCAUGUGAUUCCAAUCAAAACUUUUGCUUGGUCCAACGAAAUGAAACAUUCGGAAAGUUUGACGUCCUUAUCAGACGGUGCGCAACUUCCUGUUCGCCUCACUGUGGUAUCUGGGGCGAUGACAUUGAUACAGAACGUUGUUUUUCCUGUUGUUCGACAGACUUGUGCAAUACUGAUAAUUCUGCACAUCGUAUACACGUGCCUGGGGCGACUUUAAAUAUAAUCAAUAUUAUGCUCUUAUUAAUUAUGUGAUAUUAGCUUACUUUUGCUAAGCAUACUUUAUCUUGUUUGCCUGGAGUUUAAUUAAAUGUUACCAUUUCCUAUAUAUGCAUGAACAUCGAAAGCGCUGGAGAAAGAAUAAGUGCAUCUGUACUAAAACAAAUAACUGCCACAAUCAAAUAAAUUCAUAAUGGUUUGUGAUGAACUAAGUGUAUUUGCAUGUUUUUACAGUCGUGUCAUGGGAACCAUUAUAAGACAAUACCAAAUUAUUUCUUCAGAAGAUUGACCCAAGUGUAAAAUCCCAAUUGACAAUGGCAUUUGCAGCCUCUGGCUUAGUCAGGAAAAGUGUCUAAGAAUCCCAUUCAAAUACUACAUCCACUUGGAAUCUCUGUCUAAUGAUAGAAAUCAAUUUGGACAAAUUAUGAGAAAGACUAUGAAAGUAACGAAAUACAUUGUAAUGCAGAUUUCGUGUCGUUGGUUUAUUUGUUUAGAAAUCAAAGGGAAAUUCCGGUUCAAUAUAUCAUAAAAUGAAAGUAGGUCACAGAUUCCGUUUUUAUUAAAUAAAGUGCAUUUAGUGUGAUUAAUAGGAGAUUUAUGUGAUAACCGAGAAAUAUUAAUGUAAAAAAUGAAAUGUAAAAUUAAAUACAUUUUUAAGGGACAUGGACACAGUUUCAACUGAAAUCUUUUUUAAAAAAAAAAAAAAAAAACAGUUGUAAUGUUUACAAUGAAAACUAAGGCAAUAUUAAUAAUCAGCAAAAAUUUGAAUAUCAUUUGUUGAUUUACAAAGGAGAUACAGAACUUAAAAUUGUUAAACAAAUAAUGUAAACAAGGCUCGUACCUUGUUUUUGUUUACAUAUAAAAAAUAUAUCAUGUUUAUAACAAAACGAGAUUCAGCAAAACACUAGAAACUGUCUUAUCGUAUUUAGGAUUAACUUCUUUAAUGAAAAAAAUGUGCUUUGACUGAACAUAUAUUAGUAUAUUUAACUUAUUUAAACAGAAAGCUGGCACUGUCCCUGUUUAUAUAACAAAGGUUUGGAACUCUAAAUCUCUCUUGUAUCUCAUCAACCGAAAUUGAAUUUUUUAAUCAUCAUUAUAAAUACCUUAGUUAAAAUUUGCAAAUUAAAAAAUAUAAUUUAGCUGAAACUCUGUCCAUGUCUCUUUAAGUAUGAAAUACUUCUAAUAUUGAUUUGUAAACGUUUUGUAAAAAAAUGCUAUUUUGAA